GGGGCUGUGGCUCAGUAGUAGAGUGCUUGCCUAGCAUGCAUGAGGCACUGGGUUUAAUCCUCAGCACCA
rnacentral:tRNA from 1 species